AACCUGGGUUCGGUCCCUGGGUUGUGAAGAUCCCCUGGAAGAGGGCAUGGCAACCCACUCCAGGUCUCGUCAACAAUGUAGAAUACAUAAUACUGACAAGAGUAUUAGUAGUAAACUAAGAAGAACAGAGAAAUUGAAUUAAAAGUGAGAAAAUGGAGAGAGUCAAAAUGCACAGCUGAGGGCAGAGAUCCCUGUUCUUUGUGAAACUGAUUCAGAAAGCUGGAGUUGAUAGUCCUGAAGUCCUCUAGAGAACUGACAGCUAUCUGAAACUGCAGCAGGGCCAUUCCUGAUGGACAUGACUACAAGCACCGACUCAUAUUCUGUGACUCAGGAUGGUUGAAUGACAUCACCGACUCAAUGGGCAUGAGUUUGAGCAAGCUCCAGGAGAUGGUGAAGGACAAGGAAGCCUGGCGUGCUGAGGUCCAUGGGCAUGAAUGAGCGACUGAACAACAAGAAGAUAUAGACUGAAUAGUAUCUUGAACCUGUCCUGUUCCAUUAUACCAUUUUACUACAAUGUGGCCAUGCUUAGAGUUGCUUUAAAAAAUAAAUUUUUCAUAUCAA